AUGAAGCUGGAAUUGCUAGUAAUGGCAGGUCAGCAUACUGCCGUGAAUACGUUCCCGGGCCUUGUACACACCGCCCGUCACACCAUGAGAGUUGGGAAUACCCGAAGCCUGUGAGCUAACAUUUAUGAGGCAGCAGUCGAAGGUAGAAUCAAUGAUUGGGGUGAAGUCGUAACAAGGUACC
rnacentral:rRNA from 1 species